AUUAGUAUUUCAAUAAAAUGAUCACACUGUAAUUCGGUUGCUGGUCUGGUGUGAAUGUUGAUUUGUCCCUUGAGAGCUUCGGUACGAAUUUGUUGCUAGUGACGUGUGGAUAAACUGUACUGAGGCCUCCACUUAAGUGCUUACUAAUCCUUAAAGUCAGAGGAUUUUCAUGAUAUUUCAAUGGAGUCUUCCUGGAUUGAGGUCACACUGGUUCCAAGGCUGGAGUUUCUGGUUGACAGUUCUGAUGCAGAAAUCUGCCUCAGUCCCCUCCUCGACACCCUGACUGGAGUUACCCCAGGGAGCUGUGCUGCACGGUCUCCACUUUGUGGAACUGAUGAAACAGCGGUGAUCAAAUAAGGGGCUUCAUCUCCAGCUGACUGUUCCUCAUAGCUGGCUAAACGCCUCCUGCUUGCAGAAGUGGGAGUCUGGGCUAUUUCUGUAAUCUCAUCCCAAAUUCUGCUGUUCUGUGCUCGGGCACUUGUUGGAAGACUAUCACUGUUCUUUUGAGAGUUUGCAUUAGCUUUGUUACUUUCAAACUUGGUAGCCCAUUUGUCUUCUUCUGAGAUGCUGACAAUUUUUUCUAGGCCAUCCCCAUUACCUAAGGAAAAAAAGAAAUCAUUAGAAAAGCACCAAAUUCACCACAUGUUUUUGUUUUAAGGUAUAGGCACUUUUUUUCUAUAAAACAGACAUUGAUUGUGUAAUGCUGGUACAACAACAGAUUCAUCAGAAAAGAAAAGUGUCUUAAUGAAAAGUUAUUAAUGCAUUCCAGAAACCAAUCAAAUUACAGAUGGAAUCUAAAAUAUUGUUUGGAGAUGGAUUUUGUUGUUCGCAUGCAACAUUAACAGAACAACACUGUCAUUUUGAAAAUUCUUAAUAAAAAAAUGGGUAUGUGAAAUACA